GAUGAACGCUGGCGGCGUGCCUAAUACAUGCAAGUCGAGCGAACAGAUGAGGAGCUUGCUCCUCUGACGUUAGCGGCGGACGGGUGAGUAACACGUGGAUAACCUACCUAUAAGACUGGGAUAACUUCGGGAAACCGGAGCUAAUACCGGAUAAUAUAUUGAACCGCAUGGUUCAAUAGUGAAAGACGGUUUUGCUGGCACUUAUAGAUGGAUCCGCGCCGCAUUAGCUGGUUGGUAAGGUAACGGCUUACCAAGGCAACGAUGCGUAGCCGACCUGAGAGGGGGAUCGGCACCACUGGAGCUGAGACACCGUCCAGGCUCCUACGGAAGGCAGCGGUAGGGAAUCUUGCGAACUGGGCGAAAGCCUGACGGAGCAACGCCGGGUGGGUGAUGAAGCUCUUCGGAUCGUAAAACGCUGUUAUUAGGGAAGAACAAAUGUGUAAGUAACGAUGCACGUCUUGACGGUACCGAAGCAGAAGGCCACGGCUAACUACGU
rnacentral:rRNA from 1 species